UUUGUCAUUCCCAGGCAAAAAUCAUGGCAAGGCGCUGCAUAUGGUUUUCUCGGACUCUUCUUUGCAGCAGUAGACCAUCAACACUCAUGUCCUCUCCAUCCCUUCUCGGCCAGCGCCUUCACCGUCACCGUUCUCUUUCCACCAUCCUCACCAGGCAACGUCGCUCUUUCUCGGACUAAUGGACUACUGGGAUGCACUCGGUCGCUGCUAUGUCUGAUAUCACAUAUCCAAAUGCAGAAACGCACUUAUUACUAUGGUACCUUUUUCUGUCGCACUUUCCCUCAUCGCUAGUUUUCAAUUGUGAGUCCUAAUAAUAUGCUAAUAAAAGUAGCAAUUUUGCAAAUUACUUUGAGCCCUCUUCUUCUCAUAUGAUUCCUCGAUUUUAGCUACCCAUUUUAAACUUUAAGGUUGAUUUUGGAAUUGAAUCACAGAAUGCUUUAUUGCAUGACUCAUCAGUUUUCUUUUCUAUUGCCAAGUGUAGCCAUAAAGCAGAAUACAUACAUUGAUAAAAAGGAGUACUAAGUUUUACCUCUUUGUUUAUGUUAUGAGUGAUACAACUUUUAGUUGGACCAUGGAGAAACAUGUUUAUAGCAAUUAGAACUGAUCUCACACUUUUGGUAGUCACUAGGGCUGAUAGUUCUAAAAGAGUAGAAGAACAUGAUCGGGUAGUCACACACUUCUUGUACCAUUUGAAAUAAAAUAAUUGUUGGGAAAU